GGCGAACGGGUGAGUAACACGUGGGUGACCUGCCCUCCACUCUGGGAUAAGCCCGGGAAACUGGGUCUAAUACCGGAUAGGACCACUGAUCGCAUGGUUGGUGGUGGAAAGUUUUUUCGGUGGGGGAUGGGCCCGCGGCCUAUCAGCUUGUUGGUGGGGUGAUGGCCUACCAAGGCGGUGACGGGUAGCCGGCCUGAGAGGGCGACCGGCCACACUGGGACUGAGACACGGCCCAGACUCCUACGGGAGGCAGCAGUGGGGAAUAUUGCGCAAUGGGCGGAAGCCUGACGCAGCGACGCCGCGUGGGGGAUGACGGCCUUCGGGUUGUAAACCUCUUUCGCCAGGGACGAAGAGCAAUUGACGGUACCUGGAGAAGAAGCACCGGCCAACUACGUGCCAGCAGCCGCGGUAACACGUAGGGUGCGAGCGUUGUCCGGAAUUAUUGGGCGUAAAGAGCUCGUAGGCGGUGUGUCGCGUCGGCCGUGAAAACUUGGGGCUUAACUCUGAGCGUGCGGUCGAUACGGGCAUCACUUGAGUUCGGCAGGGGAGACUGGAAUUCCUGGUGUAGCGGUGAAAUGCGCAGAUAUCAGGAGGAACACCGGUGGCGAAGGCGGGUCUCUGGGCCGAUACUGACGCUGAGGAGCGAAAGCGUGGGGAGCGAACAGGAUUAGAUACCCUGGUAGUCCACGCCGUAAACGUUGGGCGCUAGGUGUGGGGACCAUUCCACGGUUUCUGUGCCGCAGCUAACGCAUU
rnacentral:rRNA from 1 species